rnacentral:rRNA from 1 species
CCUACGGGCGUCAGCAGUGAGGAAUAUUGGUCAAUGGACGAGAGUCUGAACCAGCCAAGUAGCGUGAAGGAUGACUGCCCUAUGGGUUGUAAACUUCUUUUAUAUGGGAAUAAAACGUUCCACGUGUGGGAUUUUGUAUGUACCAUAUGAAUAAGGAUCGGCUAACUCCGUGCCAGCAGCCGCGGUAAUACGGAGGAUCCGAGCGUUAUCCGGAUUUAUUGGGUUUAAAGGGAGCGUAGGUGGAUUGUUAAGUCAGUUGUGAAAGUUUGCGGCUCAACCGUAAAAUUGCAGUUGAAACUGGCAGUCUUGAGUACAGUAGAGGUGGGCGGAAUUCGUGGUGUAGCGGUGAAAUGCUUAGAUAUCACGAAGAACUCCGAUUGCGAAGGCAGUUCACUGGACUGCAACUGACACUGAGGCUCGAAAGUGUGGGUAUCAAACAGGAUUAGAUACCCCUGUAGUC